CGAAGCUCGCGAUGCAUGUGUUGCAUGAUGGAUUAUUCGCCAUACUCUGAAACUGAGACCAUCAAGUUUUUGGUAAUGGUUGUGGGCUCUGUUGUCUUGACGCUCUUCCUUAUUCUAGGCUUUAUCUACCUGGGUAUCGUCGAUAUCGCGGGUGACACAACGAUGAGAAAGACGUCCACAACACCAUGGGUCAUAAUAUGAUGAAGCCUUGGGACACCCACUGUUCUACCACAACGAAACUAUCGCAGACCGGAGCAUAAUUCUGUUCUUCUCCUGCGAGACGAAACGUUCCGAUUUUCAAACAUUUCUUUAUGAAUUGACUAUGAAUGGAAGUGGCUUGGCCAGACCAUUUGUGCAUUCUGACCUAGCAGCGUCUGUUGCCACGGGCUUUCUGCGAAGUUCCGAGAUGCGACGGUAGCUGUGAUGCGUUUUCUAUUUUUAAGCAACAAGGUGUUUGAAUAUAGUUUCCGAUUUUUGACAAGA